rnacentral:rRNA from 1 species
AUGACGGCCUUAAAAGAACUUUGUCGGCUGAUUAGCUUGUUGGUGAGGUAUGGCUCACCAAGGCGACGAUCAGUAUCUGGUUUGAGAGGACGAUCAGACACACUGGAACUGAGACACGGUCCAGACUCCUACGGGAGGCAGCAGUGGGGAAUUUUCCGCAAUGGGCGAAAGCCUGACGGAGCAAUACCGCGUGAGGGAUGACGGCCUAUGGGUUGUAAACCUCUUUUUUCAGGGAGGAAUCAAUGACGUGUACCUGAAGAAUAAGCAUCGGCUAACUCCGUGCCAGCAGCCGCGGUAAGACGGAGGAUGCAAGUGUUAUCCGGAAUCACUGGGCGUAAAGCGUCUGUAGGUGGUUUAAUAAGUCAACUGUUAAAUCUUGAGGCUCAACCUCAAAAUCGCAGUCGAAACUAUAGACUAGAGUAUAGUAGA